GAAGGAUAUAGCUCAGUUGAUAGAGUGCUUGCCUUGCAGGCACAGGACCUGGGUUCAAUCCCCAGCACUGCA
rnacentral:tRNA from 1 species